rnacentral:lncRNA from 1 species
GCUACAUUACAUCAAUAGUUUCUUAAUGACUAGAAUUACUUGCCAUUUAAAACCUAAAGAGUGUAAUUGUAACCAGCUCUUUUAUUUUCCACUUUACUUCAUUUGAAAUUAGUUUUAUAGCACCCAACUGUUUUGGAGUUUUGAUUGAAAGCUCCACUUUCUUUAGCCCAUCUUUAAUUAAAAGAUGUCUAAAUGAGAAGACUUUCUGAAUAGAUUAGUUAGGACAAUGAAUGCCGUCAAAUCUCAGUAUCAUGUAUCAAGGGUGCUACAAAGAGGCAUUAAAUAGCCCAGAAUGGUCAGUGUAUUUAGAACCCGUGAAUUCUGAACCUGACUCUGUUCCUGCUUUCCUGUGCGCUGCCCUUGACAGAUAAUGUAACCUCUCUCGCUUCUGUUUUUAUCAUCUGUUGAAUUAAGGAUGGUGGAACGGUGUGCUUGUCAAAUUGCCAUGGUAUGACAAGGGAUAUGUUUGAAACUAGUGGAAAGUGUUUUGUCCAUCUCCUCAGCAAAAUGAAACAAGCCCCUAUUGUGUUCUAACAGUGAACUCAAUUGCCUGAUUUAUGCUGUCACAUGUUUGCAAAGAGUGUAAAUUGAUUUUUACUCAAAACAGACUGAAAAGCCAAAGUGUUUGCCAAACUCAAAAUUGCUAACCUGUCUGGAAAAGCUCACCCAAGCCCAUGGAAUUUGAGGGACUAUAAAUGUUUAAAUCAGAUGCUUGGAGAAAGCGACUCUAGUCAGAAAUAUUCCACAGAGGCAAGAUAAUUGUAAGCUACACAAACAAACAAACAAACAAUCCUUCCAAGACUGCAAAAGUCAGUUUUCUCUCUAAACUGAUUAACUUUCAGUACAACUAGAAUGAAGACGCUUCACACGCAUUUGUUCUGAGAAAAUUAAUUUUUUAAGGCAGAUCUGCAAUAUCUUAAAUAGGUUAAUUUUUUUUAAUCUUUUUAGGGGCCCACCCACAGUAUGAAGUUCCUAGGCCUGGGGUCAAAUCUGAGCUACAGCUGUUGGCCUACACCACAGCCACAGCAAUGUGGGAUCUGUCUGUGACCUACACCACAGCUUAUGGCAAUGCAGGAUCCUUAAUCCACUGAGCGAGGCCAGGGAUCGAAUACGUGUCCUCAUGGAUACUAGAAGGGUUCAUUACCAUUGAGCCAUGAUGGGAACUCGUUUGCUUUUUUUUUUUUUUCCUUAAGAGAGGGCAGUACCUAAAAAGUGUAGUUGACUGGGAGUAGACUUGGAAGUUUCUGGGAGUUGAAAAAAACUCAGUAAGGCAUAACUUACUCUUUUGCUGCAUUUGAACAUUGUGGCCAAGAACUUAAUUUCAACUUUACACAACCCUGGAUUUGAAGUCCAGUUCUGUGUCUCAAUAACCUGAGCAUCCAUUCAUCAUCUGUCAAGUAGAGGUGAAUUAUCACCUCCUUAUCUCAUAGGGCUGCUGUGAAGGUUAACAAGGUGAAGUCCACAAUGAGAUGCACAUGGUAAAUCCUGAAUAUUUUUCAAAUCCACUCAGUAACUUUAUUCUUAAAGUUGUUUUUAAUGAGAAAAGGGUAAAUCUGCUCCAUAAUUUUCUAGGGUGAUCCACCAUCCUGGUUUUCAAGGAUGUAAGACAUUCAAUUCGAAGAGGAGGAGAGUCCCUGGCAAACUAGGAUGGUUGUCACCAUAGGCACUAAAGAGCCACUGAGACAGAGUGAGGCAGAAUUGUACCAAAAGUUAGUGGGACCCUAGAAAAGAAUCAAAACCAACUGUAUGCUUUUUACUUGACCACUUAUCCCUCAGUGUCAUAAACGUGACUCAGCAAUGGCUGCAGUCCCCUCCUGCACCUAAUUAUUCAACCAAUGACAUGAAUAAAAAGAGAAGCAGAUGUCUCCACAAACUUUUUAUUGAAGAACUGCUGUGUUCACAACUUAGUUGAAAUGAUAAAUAUACGACUCAGUAAUCCAGAUAGUGUGAUAGACGCUACAAUAAAGGAAAGUAUAAGGUACAGUUGUUGAGGAAAUUUUGGUUUAUUUCAGAGCUCAUAGCAUUAACAGUUGCCAAGGUCUCCUUCCCUCAGUAGAGUAUAAAUUCCUUGACAACAGGACAUGGGUGUGUUUUCUUCUCAUAUGUCUACAAUUUCUGCAACUGUGCCAGAUAAUAGCCACCAUGAUUUCCUUCAUGGUAAGGCAGGUUAAGGAUCAGAUGUUGUCACUGUGUGGCCCUGGUUACAGCUGUGGUGAGGGUUUGAUCCCUGGCCCAGGAACUUCUGCAUGCUACGAGUUCAGCCAAAAAAAAAAAAAAAAUUAUAGAUAUGUUGAUAUCUGAAAGAUGCCCAGGUUAAGACAUUUGUCUGGCAAUGUAUACACAUAUGCAUGCAUAAAUAUAUAUAUGUGUGUGUGUGUGUGUAAGAUUCAAGAAAGAAUAUGAGCUAAAAAUAAUGCUUUGAGAAUUGUCAGCAUAGAGGAGGUUGGUGAAUUUAUUUUCAGACAUCCUCAAUGAAUAAGUAUAGAUAAAAUAAUAGAGUGAUUGAAAUAUGUCUUUAAAAAUAAGCUUUUUAUAUUUACAGAAAAAUAGUCCAUUUACUUUAUUCACAUUCUCUUGGUUUUUUUCCCCUUAUGCCCUUUUUAUGUCCCAGGAUCCCAUUCAGGAUAUAAAUAAUAUUUAUAUUUAUAAAUAAUAUGUAAUAUGAUAUUACAUUUUAGGCAUCAUGUCUGCUUAGGCUCCCCUUGGCUAUGACAUUUUCUCAGACUUUCUUAGUUUUGAGAAAUAGUGAUCAAAUAUAUUGUAGCAUGUCCCUUUAUUGGGAUUUGUCUGUUUUUCUCAUGAUUAAACUGGAGCUAUGGGUUUUAGGGAGAAUGACCACAGGUGUAAAAUAUUAUUUUCACCACAUCGCAUCAACAUACAUACAAUCAACAUGAUUUAUUGCUAUUGCUGUUGAUUCCAGUCAUCUGCUGGUAUCUGUCAGCUUCCUCUAACGUAAAUAUGUUUUUAAUUUUGUGUGUGUAUGUAUGUAUGUAUGUAUUUUGUCUUUUCAGGGCCACACCCACAGCAUAUGGAAGUUCCCAAGCUAGGGGUCAAAUCAGAGCUGUAGCUGCUGGCCUACACCGCAGCCCCAGCAACACAGGAUCUGAGCCGAGUCUGAAACCUACAACAGCGCUCACCUCAACACAGGAUCCUUAACCUACUGAGGAAGGCCAGGGAUCAAACCCAUGUCCUAGUGGAUACUAGUUGGAUUCAUUACCACUGAGCCACAAUAGGAAUUCCUAUGUAAAUAUAUUUUUUAAAUGAAAUCUUAUUACACACAAAACUUUUCCUUAAAAUUAUUUAAUUUUUUCAAGAAAAUUAAUCAAAAUGAAAUUGAAAGAUUUGCUGAGCAGAGGAGAAUUUUUUUAAUAUGAAGCAUUUGGCUUACAAAAGACUUUCCUUGUUAUAGCUGUAAAGUUUUAAUCUUAAAGCUCCCACUUUUGUUGGCCUUAUAACUUGGAGAACAGUCUAGCCCCAGUGCAUGCAUUCAUGCCCUGACAAAUCUUGGCUGAAAGAUAAGUGCUUAUUUUGCAGAUACACAUCAUUGCAUUUUCUCAGAUAUUUGAAUUAAGUGGAGUAAUGCUAGGGUAGGAAACAGUGAAAGCUGAUUCAAUGAGUGUGGGGCUCCCAAGGAAUUGUUCAUUAUUUAAUUCUAGCUAUCUAGUUUCCCAAAGCUUUUCUAGUUACUAUCCUUCUGAUUCAGUUCUUUUAUUAUCUUGGAUUUUGUGAGCUAUUCUAUUAUCUUUCUACUAAUUCUUUUAUUGGGUAAAUUUUAACAGAGUUUGUUUCUGUUGCUUACCGUGCAUUAACUGACAGUUACUUUCAAAUAAUGAUGAAAAACCGAAAAACGUGUGGCAUUAUUUUCAACUACAAUUUUAUCUUUAAACAAAUUCUAUUUCCUCCCUUCUCAGUUCAUGAAAAGUUCCUUCCCACUUCCUCUCUUCCCCUCAUUUUUGUUAGUUGAGCUAUUGUUUUUAUGGUUUAUAAAAACCAUAAACCAUCUACUGUGGUUUAUGACUAUAGUGAUCAGGAGGGCUUAGUUAAGCUGGAUAACAAGCAACCAUAAACCUUAAUGGCUCAACAAAAAGUUUUCCCCUUACUCUUGCUGGGUAUGUCCAUUAAGGUCAACUGGAAACUUUGCUCCAUCUCUUUACUCAGGGGUAGGAUGUUCAUAUUCCCAACAGACAGAAUCUUCAGGAUUUGAGAAAAAGAAAUCAGGAUUCCUGUGGAUUCUUGGUAAUUCCUCCAAAUCUUAAGUUAUUUUGUGCAUUUCAUCAUACUCUACAAAUUUUAAACUCAUAAUAAAUGACCAUGUCAAUAGCCAGUAUAUCAUUUUUUGUGAUGUGGUUAAAUUAAAGACAUUACUAUUGUUGUUUUGAACAGGCCAUAUUCAUUUCAGAGGUUUUCUUUAAAAAGAAAAAAAGAUUCUGAUGAUGGGUAUUGAGUUCAUUUUGGGUGGGAUGAUCUUGUUCAAAAAUUAGAUAGUGGUUGUUUAUACAACUCUGACUAUAGUAAAAUCCACUGAACUGUAUAUUUUAAAGGUAUGGAUUUU